GGGAAAUUACGGCAUCGUUUCCCAUUCGUAUAAUUUGAGCUUCAAAAGUAUAUAAACGGACAACUCAAAACAACACAGCCUCAGGCCAAGCAGAGAGCGGAAGGUUCGCAGAGAUGCUCCCCCGAAUUUCGUAUUGCUGUUCAUCGUAAAAUUUUGGAACUCGGAAGAAUACGAUCGUUUCUGAUUCUAGGACACAUUAAUCGUGUGAAUCGAUUCAGCAAUUCGCAUCGUUUAUUGAAGAAUUUCUAGAAAUUUUAUAUACGUUUCUAAUCGGAAUCAGGCGUUAAUAGA